GUGGUAAUUCUAGAGCUAAUACAUGCUAAAAACCUCCACUUCGGAAGGGGUGUAUUUAUUAGAUAAAAAACCAAUGCCCUUCGGGGCUCCUUGGUGAAUCAUAAUAACUUAACGAAUCGCAUGGCCUUGCGCCGGCGAUGGUUCAUUCAAAUUUCUGCCCUAUCAACUUUCGAUGGUAAGAUAGAGGCUUACCAUGGUCUUAACGGGUAACGGGGAAUUAGGGUUCUAUUCCGGAGAGGGAGCCUGAGAAACGGCUACCACAUCCAAGGAAGGCAGCAGGCGCGCAAAUUACCCAAUCCCGACACGGGGAGGUAGUGACAAUAAAUACUGAUACGGGGCUCUUUUGGGUCUCGUAAUUGGAAUGAGUACAAUCUAAAUCCCUUAACGAGGAACAAUUGGAGGGCAAGUCUGGUGCCAGCAGCCGCGGUAAUUCCAGCUCCAAUAGCGUAUAUUAAAGUUGUUGCCGUUAAAAAGCUCGUAGUUGAACCUUGGGCCUGGCUGACCUGUCCUCCUAAUCGAGCGCACGGGUUCGGUCGGGCCUUUCCUUCUAGGGAACCCCAUGCCCUUCACUGGGUGUGGUGGGGAACUAGGACUUUUACCUUGAAAAAAUUAGAGUGUUCAAAGCAGGCCUUUGCUCGAAUACAUUAGCAUGGA
rnacentral:rRNA from 1 species